rnacentral:tRNA from 1 species
UGCUUGGGUAGCUCAGUUGGUAGAGCACUUGCCCUCAAAAGGCAAAGGUCCCGAGUUCGAGUCUCGGUCCGGCAC